rnacentral:misc_RNA from 1 species
UUAACCUCUAGCUUUGAUUUGGUGAGAUAGUUGCGUGGAGAUUUCUGUAAGGGAAUUAGGUUAGUUAUUUCUGCAGGUUGCUUUGACAGUUCUGUAAGAGAUUUAUUUUAGUAAUUUUUCAUAUCUGCAAGGAUGGGCUGAGUUGUAUAUUUUAUGAACUUAAACUAAGUCUAUGGUAUGAAUUUAAUCGAAGUCCUAAUUAGUCUACUAUUCAAAUAAAAGAGGAGGUUUUUGAAUUAUGCUCAAAUUAGGGACUUGGUUUUUGAAUGGAUAAAUUUUAUCAAUUGUGCUUUUAGUUGUGUGAUGUAAUCUAAUUCUAUGAAGUAUGUUGGUUCAUGAUGGGAUUGUGCUCUAAACUCUGUUGGUGUGAGGGUAGUGAUUUUAUUUGAUUUACGCAACUCUCUACAAAAAAAUUCCAUUGUAAAUCAGAUCCAACCGAUUCUUUGUUUUUUACCUUCAUUAAUUGUACCAAACUCUUUAACUCUAAUGUCAAAACAAUCAAAGUCAAACCUUUUUCUUUUAUGCCCUACAUCACUUAUCAUGGCAAAUUUAACCAAUUGAUUCAAAUGAGAGAGCUUUGGAUAUUGCACAAAAGUCAUAGCUCAUAGGUCCAGAUCCUACAUAAGCUAUUUAAAAUUUUUUAAAUGUCUAUCAGUAUCUAAAUGAUAUGGAAAGAAAUUAAGCAAGUGAAUUAUCAAAUCACAUACAAUUAGAAGAUAGCAUCUUUGUUAUUAUCUUGUGCCUUUGAAUAUACCCAAUUACAUCAUCAACAAUGCUGUUUUCUUUCAAAUUUUCAUAGUUUUGCGGACAUAUGUAAUGCAGAAUAAGAAGCUUAGAAUUUUAUUUAGGA